rnacentral:rRNA from 1 species
AACGAACGCUGGCGGCAUGCCUAACACAUGCAAGUCGAACGGAUGUAGCAAUACAUUAGUGGCGCACGGGAUAGUAACGCGUGGGAAUCUGCCUCAUAGUUCGGAAUAACACCGGGAAACUGGUGCUAAUACCGGAUACGCCCUUCGGGGGAAAGUUUUUCGCUAUGAGAGGAGCCCGCGUUGGAUUAGCUAGUUGGUGAGGUAAUGGCUCACCAAGGCGACGAUCCAUAGCUGGUCUGAGAGGACGAUCAGCAUCACUGGGACUGAGACACGGCCCAGACUCCUACGGGAGGCAGCAGUGGGGAAUAUUGGACAAUGGGGGAAACCCUGAUCCAGCAAUGUCGCGUGGGUGAUGAAGGUCUUCGGAUUGUAAAGCCCUUUUGGCAGGGACGAUGAUGACGGUACCUGCAGAAUAAGCUCCGGCUAACUUCGUGCCAGCCGCCGCGGUAA